rnacentral:rRNA from 1 species
AUACGGAGGGUGCAAGCGUUACUCGGAAUCACUGGGUGUAAAGCGCGCGCAGGCGGUCUUUUAAGUUGGAUGUGAAAGCCUACAGCUCAACUGUAGAACUGCAUCCAAAACUAUUAGACUAGAGUCUGGGAGGGGAAGAUGGAAUUAGUUGUGUAGGGGUAAAAUCCGUAGAGAUAACUAGGAAUACCAAAAGCGAAGGCGAUCUUCUGGAACAGUACUGACGCUGAGGCGCGAAAGCGUGGGGAGUAAACAGGAUUAGAAACCCGAGUAGUCC